rnacentral:rRNA from 1 species
GUAGGCGGCAAGCGUUGUCCGGAAUUAUUGGGCGUAAAGCGCGCGCAGGCGGUUCUUUAAGUCUGAUGUGAAAGCCCACGGCUCAACCAUGGAGGGUCAUUGGAAACUGGAGAACUUGAGUACAGAAGAGGAAAGCGGAAUUCCACGUGUAGCGGUGAAAUGCGUAGAGAUGUGGAGGAACACCAGUGGCGAAGGCGGCUUUCUGGUCUGUAACUGACGCUGAGGCGCGAAAGCGUGGGGGAGCAAACAGGAUUAGAUACCCUGGUAGUCCACGCCGUAAACGAUGAGUGCUAAGUGUUAGGGGGUUUCCGCCCCUUAGUGCUGCAGCUAACGCAUUAAGCACUCCGCCUGGGAGUACGGCCGCAAGGCUG